AUUGAACGCUGGCGGCAUGCUUUACACAUGCAAGUCGAACGGCAGCGCGGGCUUCGGCCUGGCGGCGAGUGGCGAACGGGUGAGUAAUGCAUCGGAACGUGCCCAGUAGUGGGGGAUAGCCCGGCGAAAGCCGGAUUAAUACCGCAUACGACCUGAGGGUGAAAGCGGGGGACCGAAAGGCCUCGCGCUAUUGGAGCGGCCGAUGUCGGAUUAGCUAGUUGGUGGGGUAAAGGCUUACCAAGGCGACGAUCCGUAGCUGGUCUGAGAGGACGACCAGCCACACUGGGACUGAGACACGGCCCAGACUCCUACGGGAGGCAGCAGUGGGGAAUUUUGGACAAUGGGGGCAACCCUGAUCCAGCCAUGCCGCGGGCGGGAAGAAGGCCUUCGGGUUGUAAACCGCUUUUGUUCGGGAAGAAAUCCUCUGGGCUAAUACCCCGGGGGGAUGACGGUACCGGAAGAAUAAGCACCGGCUAACUACGUGC
rnacentral:rRNA from 1 species